CAAUAGCGUAUAUUAAAGUUGUUGCAGUUAAAAAGCUCGUAGUUGGAUUUCUGGUAGGAGUGACCGUUCCGAACUUGAUUGUUCGUGUAUUGUGUUUUCUCCAGCCAUCCUUGUGGAGAACUUUUCUUGCAUUAAUUUGUAGGGAUUGGGACCCGCAUCGUUUACUGUGAAAAAAUUAGCGUGUUUAAAGCAGGCAAUCGCUUGAAUACAUUAGCAUGGAAUAAUAAGAUAGGACUUUGGUACUAUUUUGUUGGUUUGCAUACCAAAUUAAUGAUCAACAGGAACAGUUUGAGGAUAUUCGUAUGAACAUGUCAGAGGUGAAAUUCUUGGAUUUUGAUCAGACGAACUACUGCGAAAGCAUUUAUCAAGGAUGUUUUCAUUAA
rnacentral:rRNA from 1 species